rnacentral:rRNA from 1 species
UGGCGAAACGGGGUGAGUAACACGUGGGCAACCUGCCCAAAAGACGGGGGAUAACACUUGGAAACAGGUGCUAAUACCGCAUAACCAUAGUUACCGCAUGGUAACUAUGUUAAAAGGUGGCUAUACUACCGCUUUUGGAUGGGCCCGCGGCGCAUUAGCUAGUUGGUAGGGUAAAGGCUUACCAAGGCAAUGAUGCGUAGCCGAAUUGAGAGGUUGAUCGGCCACAUUGGGACUGAGACACGGCCCAAACUCCUACGGAAGGCAGCAG